rnacentral:rRNA from 1 species
GAAAAGUUGGUGAGCUCUGGAUAACUGAGCGGAUCGCAUGGCCUUGCGCCGGCGACGUAUCUUUCAAGCAUCUGCCCUAUCAACUGUAGAUGGUAGUGUAUUGGACUACCAUGGUGGUAACGGGUAACGGAGAAUCAGGGUUCGAUUCCGGAGAGGGAGCCUGAGAAACGGCUACCACAUCCAAGGAAGGCAGCAGGCGCGCAAAUUACCCAUUCCCGGACUCGGGGAGGUAGUGACACGGAUAAAUAACGGUGCAGAGCUAUUUUAGUUUUGCAACCGGAAUGAGAACAAUCUAAAUCCUUUAUCGAGGAUCAAUUGGAGGGCAAGUCUGGUGCCAGCAGCCGCGGUAAUUCCAGCUCCAAAAGCAUAUGUUAAAGUUGCUGCAUUUAAAACGCUCGUAGUUGGAUUUCUGACCCUCCCGCGGUGGUCGGCCUCGCGGCCUGUACUGCCCGGGAGGUCGUCAAUGCCUGGUGGUCACAACUCGGUGCCCUUCAUUGGUGUGCCCUGGGGUACCGCCGAUCUUACUUUGAAAAAAUUAGAGUGCUCAAAGCAGGCCUGCGCCUGUAUACUUCAGCAUGGAAUAAUAGAAUAGGACCUCGGUCUUAUUUCGUUGGUUUUAGAGUCCGAGGUAAUGAUUAAUAGGGACAGACGGGGGCAUUCGUAUUGCGCCGGGAGAGGUGAAAUUCUUGGAUCGGCGCAGGACGGACUAGAGCGAAAGCAUUUGCCAAGAAUGUUUUCAUUAAUCAAGAACGAAAGUUGGAGGAUCGAAGGCGAUCAGAUACCGCCGUAGUUCCAACCAUAAACGAUGCCGACCAGCGAUCUGCGGGCGUUUCAUGAUGACCCCGCAGGCAGCCCAUGGGAAACCAGAGUCUUCGGGUUCUGGGGGGAAUAUAGCUGCAAAGCUGAAACUUAAAGGAAUUGACGGAAGGGCACCACCAGGAGUGGAGCCUGCGCCUUAAUUUGACUCAACACGGGAAAACUCACCCGGCCCGGACACAGUAAGGAUUGACAGACUGAGAGCUCUUUCUCGAUUCUGUGGUAGGUGGUGCAUGGCCGUUCUUAGUUGGUGGGGUGACUUGUCUGGUUAAUUCCGAUAACGAACGAGACUCCAGCUUGCUAAAUAGGGGGUCCGCGUGCGCAUGCGUGGGCCAGGUCAUUUUCCUUCUUAGAAGGACGACCAGCGUCUAGCUGAUUGAAAUGGAGCAAUAACAGGUCUGUGAUGCCCUUAGAUGUUCGGGGCGCACGCGCGCUACAAUGGAAGGCUCAGCGGGUGUGACUUCCCUGCGCCGAGAGGGGGGUUAACCCUUUCAGAACCUUCCGUGCUUGGGAUAGCGGUUUGCAAUUGUCCCCCUUGAACGAGGAAUUCCCAGUAAACGCAAGUCAUAAGCUUGCAUUGAUUACGUCCCUGCCCUUUGUACACACCGCCCGUCGCUACUACCGAUUGAGUGACCCGGUGAGCUCAUUGGAUCUUGGGUCGUUGGGGCAACCCGGCGAUCCGACGAGAAGCUGCGCAASCGUAUCACUUAGAGGAAGUAAAAGUCGUAACAAGGUUACCGUAGUGAACCUGCAGAUGGAKU